rnacentral:rRNA from 1 species
AGUGAACGCUGGCGGCGUGCCUAAUACAUGCAAGUCGAACGGAGUGGCGCACGGGUGUGUAAUGUAUAGCUAACCCGCCCUACACUAGAGGACAACAGUUGGAAACGACUGCUAAUACUCUAUAGUGCAGCAUGAGGCUAUAUUGUAUGAGAUAGUUGGUGAGGGAAUGGCUAACCAAGGCUACGACGCAUAACUGGUCUGAGAGGGUGAUCAGUCACAUUGGCACUGAGACACGGUCCAGCUUCCUACGGGAGGCAGCAUUAGGGAAUAUUGCUCAAUGGGGGCAAGCCUGAAGCAGCAACGCCGCGUGUAGGAUGACGCUUUUCGGGUCGUAAACUCCGUUUGUUAGGGAAGCGUUAGUAACUGAAUGUCCCCUGACGUUAUCUAACCAGAAAGCCACGGCUAACUCCGUGCCAGCCGCCGCGGUAAUUC